CGUCAAAUCAUCAUGCCCUAUAUGUCCUGGGCUACACACGUACUACAAUGGCUAUAACAGAGGGAAGCGAAGCAGAGAUGUGAAGCGAAUCUCAAAAAAGUAGUCUCAGUUCGGAUUAAAGGCUGAAAUUCGCCUUUAUGAAGCCGGAAUUGCUAGUAAUGGCAGGUCAGCAUACUGCCGUGAAUACGUUCCCGGGCCUU
rnacentral:rRNA from 1 species